rnacentral:rRNA from 1 species
AGUGAAUAGAUACCCCGGUAGUCCACGCUGUAAACGAUGAUCACUCGUUGUUGGCGAUAUACUGUCAGCGACUGAGCGAAAGCAUUAAGUGAUCCACCUGGGGAGUACGGCGGCAACGUUGAAACUCAAAGGAAUUGACGGGGGCCCGCACAAGCGGAGGAGCAUGUGGUUUAAUUCGAUGAUACGCGAGGAACCUUACCUGGGCUUAAAUGCAGGACGACGUUUCGUGAAAGCGGAAUUUCCUUCGGGACGUCUUGCAAGGUGCUGCAUGGUUGUCGUCAGCUCGUGCCGUGAGGUGUCGGGUUAAGUCCCAUAACGAGCGCAACCCUUAUUCUUAGUUGCCAUCAGGUCAAGCUGGGAACUCUAAGAAAACUGCCUACGCAAGUAGUGAGGAAGGUGGGGAUGACGUCAAAUCAGCACGGCCCUUAUGUCCAGGGCGACACACGUGCUACAAUGGUCGGUACAGAGGGUUGCUACCAGGUGACUGGAUGCUAAUCUCAAAAGCCGGUCUCAGUUCGG